UAGCCGCAGCGAAAGCGAGUCUGAAUAGGGCGACCCACACGCGCAUACGCGCGUGUGAAUAGUGGCGUGUUCUGGACCCGAAGCGGAGUGAUCUACCCAUGGCCAGGGUGAAGCGCGGGUAAGACCGCGUGGAGGCCCGAACCCACUUAGGUUGAAGACUGAGGGGAUGAGCUGUGGGUAGGGGUGAAAGGCCAAUCAAACUCCGUGAUAGCUGGUUCUCCCCGAAAUGCAUUUAGGUGCAGCGUUGCGUGGUUCACCGCGGAGGUAGAGCUACUGGAUGGCCGAUGGGCCCUACUAGGUUACUGACGUCAGCCAAACUCCGAAUGCCGUGGUGUAAAGCGUGGCAGUGAGACGGCGGGGGAUAAGCUCCGUACGUCGAAAGGGAAACAGCCCAGAUCGCCGGCUAAGGCCCCCAAGCGUGUGCUAAGUGGGAAAGGAUGUGCAGUCGCAAAGACAACCAGGAGGUUGGCUUAGAAGCAGCCACCCUUGAAAGAGUGCGUAAUAGCUCACUGGUCAAGUGAUUGUGCGCCGAUAAUGUAGCGGGGCUCAAGCACACCGCCGAAGCCGCGGCACAUCCACCUUGUGGUGGGUGUGGGUAGGGGAGCGUCCCUCAUUCAGCGAAGCCACCGGGUGACCGGUGGUGGAGGGUGGGGGAGUGAGAAUGCAGGCAUGAGUAGCGACAAGGCAAGUGAGAACCUUGCCCGCCGAAAGACCAAGGGUUCCUGGGCCAGGCCAGUCCGCCCAGGGUGAGUCGGGACCUAAGGCGAGGCCGACAGGCGUAGUCGAUGGACAACGGGUUGAUAUUCCCGUACCCGUGUGUGGGCGCCCGUGACGAAUCAGCGGUACUAACCACCCAAAACCGGAUCGAUCACUCCCCUUCGGGGGUGUGGAGUUCUGGGGCUGCGUGGGAACUUCGCUGGUAGUAGUCAAGCGAAGGGGUGACGCAGGAAGGUAGCCGUACCAGUCAGUGGUAACACUGGGGCAAGCCGGUAGGGAGAGCGAUAGGCAAAUCCGUCGCUCACUAAUCCUGAGAGGUGACGCAUAGCCGGUUGAGGCGAAUUCGGUGAUCCUCUGCUGCCAAGAAAAGCCUCUAGCGAGCACACACACGGCCCGUACCCCAAACCGACACAGGUGGUCAGGUAGAGCAUACCAAGGCGUACGAGAUAACUAUGGUUAAGGAACUCGGCAAAAUGCCCCCGUAACUUCGGGAGAAGGGGGACCGGAAUAUCGUGAACACCCUUGCGGUGGGAGCGGGAUCCGGUCGCAGAAACCAGUGAGGAGCGACUGUUUACUAAAAACACAGGUCCGUGCGAAGUCGCAAGACGAUGUAUACGGACUGACGCCUGCCCGGUGCUGGAAGGUUAAGAGGACCCGUUAACCCGCAAGGGUGAAGCGGAGAAUUUAAGCCCCAGUAAACGGCGGUGGUAACUAUAACCAUCCUAAGGUAGCGAAAUUCCUUGUCGGGUAAGUUCCGACCUGCACGAAUGGCGUAACGACUUCUCAACUGUCUCAACCAUAGACUCGGCGAAAUUGCACUACGAGUAAAGAUGCUCGUUACGCGCGGCAGGACGAAAAGACCCCGGGACCUUCACUACAACUUGGUAUUGAUGUUCGGUACGGUUUGUGUAGGAUAGGUGGGAGACUGUGAAACCUCGACGCCAGUUGGGGCGGAGUCGUUGUUGAAAUACCACUCUGAUCGUAUUGGGCAUCUAACCUCGAACCCUGAAUCGGGUUUAGGGACAGUGCCUGGCGGGUAGUUUAACUGGGGCGGUUGCCUCCUAAAAUGUAACGGAGGCGCCCAAAGGUUCCCUCAACCUGGACGGCAAUCAGGUGGCGAGUGUAAAUGCACAAGGGAGCUUGACUGCGAGACUUACAAGUCAAGCAGGGACGAAAGUCGGGAUUAGUGAUCCGGCACCCCCGAGUGGAAGGGGUGUCGCUCAACGGAUAAAAGGUACCCCGGGGAUAACAGGCUGAUCUUCCCCAAGAGUCCAUAUCGACGGGAUGGUUUGGCACCUCGAUGUCGGCUCGUCGCAUCCUGGGGCUGGAGCAGGUCCCAAGGGUUGGGCUGUUCGCCCAUUAAAGCGGCACGCGAGCUGGGUUUAGAACGUCGUGAGACAGUUCGGUCUCUAUCCGCCGCGCGCGUCAGAAACUUGAGGAAACCUGUCCCUAGUACGAGAGGACCGGGACGGACGAACCUCUGGUGCACCAGUUGUCCCGCCAGGGGCACCGCUGGAUAGCCACGUUCGGUCAGGAUAACCGCUGAAAGCAUCUAAGCGGGAAACCUUCUCCAAGAUCAGGUUUCUCACCCACUUGGUGGGAUAAGGCCCCCCGCAGAACACGGGUUCAAUAGGUCAGACCUGGAAGCUCAGUAAUGGGUGUAGGGAACUGGUGCUAACCGGCCGAAAACUUACAACA
rnacentral:rRNA from 1 species